UGAGGCCUUAGCUUAAUUAAAGUAUCUGAUUUGCAAUCAGGGGAUGUAGAGAAGUUCUAUGGGUCUUA
rnacentral:tRNA from 1 species